rnacentral:rRNA from 1 species
UACGGAGGGGGCUAGCGUUGUUCGGAAUUACUGGGCGUAAAGCGCACGUAGGCGGCUUUUGUAAGUUAGAGGUGAAAGCCCCAGGGCUUAACCCCUGGAAUUGCCUUUAAGACUGCAUCGCUAGAAUCGUGGAGAGGUGAGUGGAAUUCCGAGUGUAGAGGUGAAAUUCGUAGAUAUUCGGAAGAACACCAGUGGCGAAGGCGACUCACUGGACACGUAUUGACGCUGAGGUGCGAAAGCGUGGGGAGCAAACAGG